AUGGUGCUGCAGAACGACAUCGACCUCCUCAACCCGCCGGCGGAGCUCGAGAAGCUCAAGCACAAGAAGAAGCGCCUCGUGCAGUCCCCCAACUCCUUCUUCAUGGAUGUCAAGUGCCAGGGCUGCUUCAACAUAACAACUGUGUUCAGCCACUCUCAGACCGUGGUGGUGUGCCCUGGCUGCCAGACGGUGCUCUGCCAACCCACCGGAGGAAAAGCGAGGCUCACCGAGGGAUGCUCCUUCCGCCGGAAGGGCGACUAA
rnacentral:rRNA from 1 species